rnacentral:lncRNA from 1 species
AUGGCACAGUUGGCAAUUCAGUUGGCAUGGCAAUUUGGCAAAAAAAUCCACCCCUACUUCUCAUGGCAAUAGUCUUCAAAUGUAAAUGUAUAAACAACACAAUAUUUAAGUGGUUCGCCAAAUUGCUACAUCUAAUGGGGUUUGCAUUCCUUGUAUUUUACCAUAUAUGAGGGACUUACAAAUACAAUGAAAGAUAGCUUAAAACCUUAACAGUAUGUAAAAGAAAGAUAAGAGGUAAUAUGAAAGGGAGAAUGGCAUUUUGUUGGAGUUGUUUCUUUUUCUUCUUCUUCCUCUUUCUUCUCUCCAUGUCCCUCUUGUUGGUUCUUACACCUUCCUUUAUAGAGAUUGCAUGACAUCUUCCUCUCCAAAAAAUCUCUCAAGUGUGCCAAUAGAAAGAACCCAUGUGUUGUGCCAAUCAUUAGACAUAAAAUGUGUUCCAAUAACAAGGCAACAAGUGUUGUUCUAAUCAUUAACAAUGAUAUGUGUUACAAUGGAAAAACAACAAGUGUUAAGUUAAUCAUGAACUAAUGAAUAUCAUGCAAGAUGUUCCUUGCACCAAAGACCACGUGAAAUAUUCUACAACCACAAUAAGUUGCCAUCUUACUCUUUUUAGAGUGGUGAAUAAUCAUCCUAAUGAAUAUCAACUUGCCACCUCAUCUUAUGUAUGACACACCCCGAUCCUAGAAUCAAGGCAUGCUGGCCGUCACGUGAGCGUGACGUGAUAGGAGCAUUUUUAUGCAACUUAAUUAGCUUGUUCUCGUGCGUUUACGUUGUGUUUCCAUAGUUAUUUUAGUGUUUAAAGCAAUUUUCAUUUGUUUGUAGGCCUUAAUAACAACCUUGGCAAGAAAAGUGCAUUUUGGUGCAUGUUGGAUCAAUAUUGGGCUCAAAUGGAUUGCAUGCAUGAGGAUGGACGUUUUGGGCAUAUGUGUGUGCAAGUGUGUGUGUGUAAUUGCAAGGAUAAACACAUGCAAAGAAGCCCACAUGCAAACUCAAGGCAAGAGAGGGAGAAAACACAUGCAAAGAAGCCCACAUGCAAAGUGAAGACAAAACUCAUGGCAAAGGUGAAGGAAUUGUGUGUGUUUUGUGAUUGAAAUGAUGAAGCAUGUGUGUGUAAAUGUAAAGGGGAAAACAUGGCAGCAAACACAUGGCAAAGAAAGUAAACACAUGGCAAAGAGAAGAACAUUGAAGCAUACACAUACAAAACUCACGGCAAAGUGGAAGGAAUUGUGUGUGUUUUGUGGUUGAAAUGAUGAAGCAUGUGUGUGUAAAUGUAAAGGGAAAAACAUGGCAGAAAAUGUGUGUGUUUUGUGGU